UACGAAGGGGGCUAGCGUUGCUCGGAAUCACUGGGCGUAAAGCGCACGUUAGGCGGACUCUUAAGUCGGGUGGUGAAAUCCUGGAGCUCAACUCCAGAACUGCCUUCGAUACUGAGAGUCUCGAGUCCGGGAGAGGUGAGUGGAACUGCGAGUGUAGAGGUGAAAUUCGUAGAUAUUCGCAAGAACACCAGUGGCGAAGGCGGCUCACUGGCCCGGUACGUGACGCUGAGGUGGCGAAAAGCG
rnacentral:rRNA from 1 species